UACAGAGGUCCCGAGCGUUGUUCGGAUUCACUGGGCGUAAAGGGUGCGUAGGUGGCUUGAAAAGUUUGAUGUGAAAGCUCAGGGCUUAACCCUGAAAUGGCAUUGAAUACUGUCGGGCUGGAGGUUUGGAGGGGGGACUGGAAUUCUUGGUGUAGCAGUGAAAUGCGUAGAUAUCAAGAGGAACACCAGUGGCGAAGGCGAGUCCCUGGACAACACCUGACACUGAGGCGCGAAAGCUAGGGGAGCAAACAGG
rnacentral:rRNA from 1 species